AGGGCGCGCGGUGGAUGCCUUGGUAUCACGGGCCGAAGAAGGGCGUGGCAAGACUGCGAUAAGCCUCGGUUAGCCGUCUAACAGGCGUAGCCGGGGAUUCCCGAAUGAGGCAACUCACCCGGAGUCAUGUCCGGGAAUCGCGGAUCGAACACAUAGAUCCGAUGAGGGGAACCCGGGGAACUGAACCAUCUAAGUACCCGGAGGAAAAGAAAUCAUUCCGUUAGUAGCGGCGAGCGAACGCGGAUCAGCCCAAACCAUCGAUGACCUAACGGCCGGCAGGCUUAUGCAUCGGUGGGGUUGUACGACUUCGCAGUGGAUUCUGCCGAGUCCGCAGGGAGUUACAAAGCACCGUCGUAACAGAAGGACCCUGGAACGGGCCACCGAAGAGGGUGAGAGUCCCGUACGUGGAACGAUGGGUGCCUCCCGCGAAAGUUCGUGAGUACCACGGAACACGUGGAAUUCCGUGGGAAUCCAGGCCGACCACGGUCUAAGGCUAAAUACCCGUGAUGACCGAUAGUGAACCAGUACCGUGAGGGAAAGGUGAAAAGCACCCCGGGAGGGGAGUGAAAUAGUCCCUGAAACCGCGUGCCUACAAGCAGUCGAAGGACCGCUACGGCGGUCUGACGGCGUGCCUAUUGAAGAAUGAGCCAACGAGUUACUUUCAGUGGCAAGGUUAAGUCAGGGGACUGACGGAGCCGGAGCGAAAGCGAGUCUGAAUAGGGCGUUCAGUCGCUGGGAGUAGACCCGAAACCGGGUGAUCUAUCCAUGGCCAGGGUGAAGCGAGAGUGAUGUCUCGUGGAGGCCCGAACCUUCUAGCGUUGCAAAGCUAUUGGAUGAGCUGUGGAUAGCGGAGAAAUUCCAAUCGAACCCGGAGAUAGCUGGUUCUCCUCGAAAUGCAUUUAGGUGCAGCCUCGGGCGUUUUUAUCCAUCGGAGGUAGAGCUCUGAAUGGGCUAGGGGGUUAAUCGCCUACCAAACCCAAUCAAACUGCGAAUGCCGGUGGAAGAAACCCGGGAGUGAGUCCGCGGGAGCUAAGUUUCGCGGUCGAGAGGGAAACAACCCAGACCACCAGCUAAGGCCCCUAAGUUCUGGCUAAGUGUCAAAGGAUGUUGAGUUGCAGAAACAACCAGGAUGUUGGCUUAGAAGCAGCCACCAUUUAAAGAGUGCGUAAUAGCUCACUGGUCGAGUGGCUCUGCGCCGACAAUGUACCGGGGCUCAAGCCAGNNNNNNNGGCCUAAGCCGAGGGCGAAAGCCGUAGGCGAUGGACAGCAGGUUAGUAUUCCUGCACCACGUGCGUAGCGUUUUAAGGUACAGGGGUGACCCGGGAAGAUAGGUGGAUCGGACCCAUUGGACAUGGUCCGUCCCUGGAGCGUAGGCGUCUGGUGGUAGGCAAAUCCGCCGCCAGGUUAAGCGGAGGCUUCGGGGAAAGCAGCGACUUCGGUCAAAGCGAUUCUGCUGAGUCUAUGCCGGCGAGAAAAGCCUCGGUGCUAGCGACGCACGUGCCCGUACCGUAAACCGACACUGGUAGGUGGGGGUAAGUACCCCGAGGUGAUCGAGAGAACCCUCGUUAAGGAACUCGGCAAUCUAGCUCCGUAACUUCGGGAGAAGGAGCACCCUUGAGCGUGACCGGACUUGCUCCGUGAGCGCCCGAGGGUCGCAGCGAGCUGGCCCAGGCGACUGUUUAACAAAAACACAGGUCUCUGCUAACCCGUAAGGGGAUGUAUAGGGGCUGACGCCUGCCCAGUGCUGGAAGGUUAAGGGGAGGGCUUCACGGCCUGAACCGAAGCCCCAGUGAACGGCGGCCGUAACUAUAACGGUCCUAAGGUAGCGAAAUUCCUUGUCGGGUAAGUUCCGACCCGCACGAAUGGCGUAACGAUCUGAGCGCUGUCUCAACAAGGGACUCGGCGAAAUUGAAGUACGCGUGAAGAUGCGCGUUUCCCGCGCCAGGACAAAAAGACCCCGUGGAGCUUUACUGCAGCUUGGCACUGGAGGUGGGUUUUGAAUGCGUAGGAUAGGUGGGAGGCUAUGAAGCCGGGCUCUCGGGCUUGGUGGAGCCAACCUUGAAAUACCACUCUUUCCUGACUUACCUUCUAACGUCUGAUCAAGCAGACGGACAGUGCCUGGUGGGCAGUUUGACUGGGGCGGUCGCCUCCUAAAGAGUAACGGAGGCGUACAAAGGUGCCCUCAGGGUGGAUGGAAAUCACCCGUUGCGUGCAUUGGCAUAAGGGCGCUUGACUGUAAGACCUACAAGUCGAGCAGGGACGAAAGUCGGUCAAAGUGAUCCUACGGUUCCGAGUGGAAGGGCCGUGGCUUAACGG
rnacentral:rRNA from 1 species